ACCUUUAAACUAAUUUCAUAUUACAGUUUAAAAAUUUUGGACUUGGACUAAUGGUUAUAUACGAACCACACGAUCUUCUUUUGGAUCUAAAGUUAGUGAUCCACUAACUGUUUUCUGAUUGGUAAAUGUAGGGUGACAAAGAUCACUACUUUCAGCCUUUGAUAAAUAUUGAUCCAACGGCCACAAUUAAUUAAUUAAUUUUGCUAAUUUAUUUCUGCCUCAGAUUUUUUGUUCUUUCCUUUCUAUUUUGUUCUUCUUCCCUACGCCAUCAACAUAUCUCUUUUUCUUUUCUGUAUCUGUGCACAUCUUUCUUUCUUAUUCUCUAAACCACCACCACCACCGUCUCUUCUUAUUCCUCUUGUUCAAAUGGCGGUGGACUCCAAAGAAGGAAGGAUGAGAAGACAACAUGGUCGAGAUCUGGAAAUCCAAGUGUAGGAGAGCUUUCUCAAGAAGUGUCGCGCAGGUCUUCAAUCUACACAGAAACUUUAAUAUGUUGCUUCUCCAUUGCUCAUCGAUCCAGAAACAGUUGGAGAGCUUGCUGUCUAUAGUUGGUGGAGUAUGGUCAGUGAAUAGAAAAUCUUGAAGCUUGAGACAACGGUGCGCGGAGAGGAUAGAUAAGCCAGAGACGAACUUGACGGUGUUGUAGGGGAUGAGCUUGGCAGUGGUGAGCCGAAGACGAGCUCGACGACAGUGAGUGGGAAGAGCCAGGGUGAUUCCGUCGUCGUCUCCGACGAAGAGAGACGCGAGGGCUUUGUUGUCACAGCGAAUGGUGGUUGACGGCGGAGUUAAGAAGCUUCAAAGCGGCAUGGUUUUAUUAUUAGGUUUAGUUAGCAAAUAGGUUUAGGUCUAAGCUUGGUUUAGUUUUGGUUUAUUUUUUUAUAUGUAAACCGUUUUUAGUUUAUGAAAAAUUCAAUUUAAAAUAUUUAAAAUAUUUUUUUUAUUUUUUUUUUAAUUUUUCAAUAAUGUAAUAAUAACAAUAAAAGCACGCUAUUAAAGAA